rnacentral:rRNA from 1 species
UACGGGGGGGGCAAGCGUUGUUCGGAAUUACUGGGCGUAAAGGGUUUGUAGGUGGCCUGCUAAGUCAGACGUGAAAUCCCUCAGCUUAACUGGGGAACUGCGUCUGAGACUGGUAGGCUCGAGGACAGGAGAGGAACGCGGAAUUCCAGGUGUAGCGGUGAAAUGCGUAGAUAUCUGGAGGAACACCGGUGGCGAAGGCGGCGUUCUGGACUGUUUCUGACACUGAAAAACGAAAGCCAGGGAGCAAACGGG